GGCCUACCAUGGUGGUAACGGGUAACGGGGUGUUAGGGCACGACACCGGAGAGGGAGCCUGAGAAACGGCUACCACAUCCAAGGAUGGCAGCAGGCGCGCAAAUUACCCAAUCCCGACACGGGGAGGUAGUGACAAUAAAUAACAAUACGGGGUUCUUUCGGAUCUCGUAAUUGGAAUGAGUACAAUUUAAAUCUCUUAACGAGGACCAAUUGGAGGGCAAGUCUGGUGCCAGCAGCCGCGGUAAUUCCAGCUCCAAUAGCGUAUAUUAAAGUUGUUGCAGUUAAAAAGCUCGUAGUUGAAUUUCGGGAUCAAUAUAUUGGUCAUGCUUAGGUAUGUACUGGUAUUAUUGAUUUCUCCCUUCUGAAGAACCAUGAUGUCAUUAAUUUGAUGUCGUGGGGAAUCAGGACUGUUACUUUGAAAAAAUUAGAGUGUUUAAAGCAGGCUUUCGCUUGAAUACAUUAGCAUGGAAUAAUGAAAUAGGACGUUUGAUUCUAUUUUGUUGGUUUCUAGGAUCGACGUAAUGAUUAAUAGGGAUAGUUGGGGGCGUUAGUAUUCAAUUGUCAGAGGUGAAAUUCUUGGAUUUAUUGAAGACUAACUACUGCGAAAGCAUUUGCCAAGGAUGUUCUCAUUAAUCAAGAACGAAAGUUAGGGGAUCGAAGACGAUCAGAUACCGUCGUAGUCUUAACCAUAAACUAUGCCGACUAGGGAUCGGAUGAUGUUAAUUUUUUAAUGACUCAUUCGGCGCCUUACG
rnacentral:rRNA from 1 species